rnacentral:sRNA from 1 species
UCUCUAUUUUCCCUUUAUUUCCUGGCAAUUCUCUUGUUUUGUGUGUGCCGUGCCCAUCUCUUCCUCUUGACCCCCACUGCCAGUGUCACCUGGCCCAGCUGUGGCGCAGCUGAAACUGCUCUCGAAUUCUCGACAUGGUGACUAUUGUGGCGGACGUAAAGCUUGCGAAAACAGAAUUUUCUGCCACCCCCUGAAAAAUCAUAGCAAAACACUGCAAAAAUAACCAAAAUAUCCACAUAUCUCUAGAAUCAUUCAAAUAUCAUCCAAUUCAUCCAAAUACACAUCUUUAUCAUCAAAUACACACCUUUAUCAUCAAAUACACACCUUUAUCAUCAAAUACACCAAUAUGCCCCCUCAGCUCAGUGAAUUUACCACCAAUGAGAUUGUAUACCUUCUAAACAAUGGUUAUAUGCCUGCUCAGAUUGCACAGAUCAUUGAGUGUUAUCUGAUCACUGUAUAUCAAAUUCAACAAAAUAUUCACUGCUUUGAAACUGCUAGAAGUUCUCAUUCAAUAUGAAGUGUAAAGUCAAAGAUCACAUCAGAUAUCUUGUCAGAUUUGAAGAACUUUUUUGAGAUAUAUUCAACUGCAUAUCAUGAUGAGACUGUAGUUCAAAGGUUGCUUAAGCUGUUCAAAGCUUCUAAGCUUUGCAGCUCUUCUUAUACGAAAUAACUA